ACAGAUUUACUUCGGUAAUGACGUUAGGAAAGCGAGCGGCGGAUGGGUGAGUAACACGUGGGGAACCUGCCCCAUAGUCUGGGAUACCACUUGGAAACAGGUGCUAAUACCGGAUAAGAAAGCAGAUCGCAUGAUCAGCUUUUAAAAGGCGGCGUAAGCUGUCGCUAUGGGAUGGCCCCGCGGUGCAUUAGCUAGUUGGUAAGGUAAAGGCUUACCAAGGCGAUGAUGCAUAGCCGAGUUGAGAGACUGAUCGGCCACAUUGGGACUGAGACACGGCCCAAACUCCUACGGGAGGCAGCAGUAGGGAAUCUUCCACAAUGGACGCAAGUCUGAUGGAGCAACGCCGCGUGAGUGAAGAAGGUUUUCGGAUCGUAAAGCUCUGUUGUUGGUGAAGAAGGAUAGAGGUAGUAACUGGCCUUUAUUUGACGGUAAUCAACCAGAAAGUCACGGCUAACUACGUGCCAGCAGCCGCGGUAAUACGUAGGUGGCAAGCGUUGUCCGGAUUUAUUGGGCGUAAAGCGAGCGCAGGCGGAAGAAUAAGUCUGAUGUGAAAGCCCUCGGCUUAACCGAGGAACUGCAUCGGAAACUGUUUUUCUUGAGUGCAGAAGAGGAGAGUGGAACUCCAUGUGUAGCGGUGGAAUGCGUAGAUAUAUGGAAGAACACCAGUGGCGAAGGCGGCUCUCUGGUCUGCAACUGACGCUGAGGCUCGAAAGCAUGGGUAGCGAACAGGAUUAGAUACCCUGGUAGUCCAUGCCGUAAACGAUGAGUGCUAAGUGUUGGGAGGUUUCCGCCUCUCAGUGCUGCAGCUAACGCAUUAAGCACUCCGCCUGGGGAGUACGACCGCAAGGUUGAAACUCAAGGAAUUGACGGGGGCCCGCACAAGCGGUGGAGCAUGUGGUUUAUUUCGAAGCACGCGAGACCUUACCAGGUCUUGACAUCUAGUGCCAUUUGUA
rnacentral:rRNA from 1 species